UACGAAGGGGGCUAGCGUUGUUCGGAAUUACUGGGCGUAAAGCGCACGUAGGCGGAUAUUUAAGUCGGGGGUGAAAUCCCGGGGCUCAACCCCGGAACUGCCUUCGAUACUGGGUAUCUUGAGUUCGGAAGAGGUGAGUGGAAUUGCGAGUGUAGAGGUGAAAUUCGUAGAUAUUCGCAGGAACACCAGUGGCGAAGGCGGCUCACUGGUCCGAUACUGACGCCGAGGUGCGAAAGCGUGGGGAGCAAACAGG
rnacentral:rRNA from 1 species